CAGAGAGACGGGAUCCCAGUCCCUACCCAACCCUUCCCAAAUCGGCGCAACUCCCACCCACGCCGCCAAUGCAUCUCCGGUGAUGGCGACGGCGACGGCUGGUCCCGCGCCCACGUUCUUACACCCCAAGAUGCAGCGGCUCGUCUCCUCUCCUCUCCGGUCUCCGCGGAGGAGCCACCCUGGUCGGGCAGCAGAGGGUCGCCGCCGGCUGGAUCCUUUCUCUUCUCGACGGCCAAGCACCACCGGUUGGAGCCCGUCUCAUCCCCCCUCUGGUCGCCGUGCAGCACGUUCGGGUCCAACCUCCCUCCCCCUCGACGGCGCCCGAAACCCUAGCUACCCCCUCUCUUCCACCCAUGACCAUGGCGAGCCCGCACAAGGCACUUUCUUCCCAUCUCAUCUCCCCGCGUGAAGGAAGGGGCCAUGGGGAGAUAAGUUUCUGCAGGUACCUAUUCAAGAGGAGGGCCAUGGAGAAGCCCCGACGCCAUGGAAGAAAUCUCACUUCCUCGAUUCAGUCCAGGGAGACGACGCUGCUGCUGUUCGAGAAAGUUGGACCAUGCUACCUGCGAGACAGCAGCAGCCAAGACGCCAGUCCAGGAGGAAGGGACCACCCGUGUUCGGCCCGAGACUGACGUGGAGAACUGUUGAGCUAAGGUUCGAACCUUUACUUUCCAUGCCAGUUUUUCCCUCAUUACUUGGUUUCAGGACGGCCAGUGCUGUGUGAUGUUGUUGAUCUACUCCUAUCUUUUUUCAAAAAUUGUAUCCUUAAAAUAAAAGGCAGCCGAAUCACUGUUGCCCAGCCGUGGUGCGUGAUGUUGUUGAUUUUGCCGAUCCACUUCUUCGUGUGCAUAUGUCGAUGCAGACAGACGCGAUUCGCUACUGGAUAGUGCAGCCAGAGCGCGGGAAAGGAGAUCUCCCCUGGCCAUGUAUGAUGCUUCCCCCUAUUCCUGGUCUAAAUGUCAUGGAUUGCCAACGGUAAGGUUCAGAAACUCGUCCGUGCGCUAUUGAUACACACACAGUCCCUAAUUCGGGCACGUAUGGCCACUAGUGUCGUCUGUAUGUGCUGUUCAGACGCUGACGCGUGAGUUCGCGUGCCCUAGUUUCGCAGCAGCCCUGCCUCCCUCCCCAGCCAGCCACCUUCUCCUCAUCUCAUAUCCCUCCGUCAGCGGUCAUGACGACGUGCAGGCGAUCCAUGCUGCUCCUGGAGCCGCGCUACUCCUCCCUG